rnacentral:rRNA from 1 species
CCUACGUGUGGCAGCAGUGAGGAAUAUUGGUCAAUGGCCGUGAGUCUGAACCAGCCCAGUAGCGUGAGGGAAGACUGCCCUAUGGGUUAUAAACUUCUUUUAUGCGGGGAUAAAAGUUUCCACGUGUGGAAUUUUGUAUGUACCGCAUGAAUAAGGACCGGCUAAUUCCGUGCCAGCAGCCGCGGUAAUACGGAUGGUCCGGGCGUUAUCCGGAUUUAUUGGGUUUAAAGGGAGCGUAGGCGGGUCUUUAAGUGCGCCGUGAAAUUUUGUGGCUCAACCUUGAGAGUGCGGCGCGAACUGGAGACCUUGAGUGCGCGAGAGGCAGGCGGAAUUCGUGGUGUAGAGGUGAAAUGCUUAGAUAUCACGAAGAACCCCGAUUGCGAAGGCAGCCUGCCGCAGCGUUACUGACGCUGAAGCUCGAAAGCGCGGGUAUCGAACAGGAUUAGAUACCCGGGUAGUC